rnacentral:lncRNA from 1 species
GCGUCAUUUUUGGCGAGCCCUUUUCAAACGCCGACCCUCCAGACGCGACACGGGGCACCCAACAUGCCAGAACAGCCGGACCUGGGGCUCCCCAACCCACGCCACACCUGGGGCACAGCGACCUGGGGCGCUGAGGGGUCGCCAGCAGGACUUGCUGGCAGAUUAGACAACUUUCCAGCAACAUCUGUAAAGCUCACGAGAAGUAAAAAAUACCACAUUUGUAGGAGGAAAGGGGGAGUGAUGUCUUGCAAAUAAAUACACAGAUCUCCCUUUGAAGGCUGGAGACCAGACUGCCUGCAGCAAUGGAAUUCCCUGCUUCCCAAUCUGAGCAAGGGCAGAGGAAAGGAGGAGGGGAAAAAAAAUCCUGCUAGGUAAUCUCUGUGAAUUAUAAACUCAUUAGUGCACAUUCUGCGUUUGAGUUGACCGAAAUGUGUUGCUUUGGUUGGAAUU